UUGCAUACGUCCACAGAGGAGACACCUCGGUGUACGCAUUUGUACGGAGGGAAUUCUCUAGUCAAGAACAAAAGACGCACGAGUGGAGAGGAUCCGUUUCCGUAUUCGUCCGUAUUUAUCUCCAUCUACUUUACAUCUGACUGCACGUGAGUUGAGCUCUUCUUUCGCUUCUUUUCUUCACUCUUUCUAAUUUUAUUUCGCCCGAGAAGUAAUCUACCCUCUGACACAUUUUGAAAAGUUUUAUUUGAAAGUUUCGAAGGCGCGCUCGGACGCAACCAAUCCAGCACAUGUGUUUACCGGAUUGCCAUUGUCGGCAUAAAAUCAGGAUGUCAUGCGAUGAAGGAUGGUGAUUAAAAUAUCGAAGGACGAGCUAGACGUCUUACAUCCUCGUGGACGUGCGCAUGUUCUGCCUACAUUAACCUUUUUGAAAUUGCGAAUAUGUAAAGUAAUUUCUACAUUGCAAGAUACAUUUCUCGAAUGCGCAACACGGACAAUUGGGUCAGUUCAGAAUCGCCUAAUUAAGAAAAUAGUGGGGUCAAAAAUUGCCGGAAGAUCCAAGAAUAACACAGCAAAUGGUAGGUAGGUGAUGAACUGGGCUUUAAUGCCUGUAAUGGCUGUAUCGAAAAUAUUAAGUCAUCACUAGGGCAACACGAAGAAAUCCGAAAUCCUUUCAAAAGUUUGUUGGGAAACCAGAGAAAAGGGGAACUUCAUCGGUACUUUUUGCACCACGAUAAUGCAACUUUCUUGCGCUCAAUUGGCAUCAAAUUGGAAAAGCUCCAAAAAGCCGAUUUCGAGGAAUGUUUUGAAAGGAGCCACCUUUC